CUUUAAGUCAUCAGAAAUAAUCACGCCUAAGUCCCUUUCCUUAGAUGUUGAGGUUAGGACUCUAUCAAAUAUUCUGUACUCUGCCCUGGGGUUUUUAAGUCCAAGAUGCAUUAUCUUGCAAUUAUCCACAUUAAAUGUCAGUUGCCACAACUCUGACCAUUUUUCUAGUUUACCUAAAUCAUUUGCCAUUUGGCUUAUCCCUCCUGGAACAUGAACCCUGUUACAUAUCUUAGUAUCAUCAGCAAAACGACAUACCUUACCAUCAAGACCUUCUGCAAUA